rnacentral:rRNA from 1 species
GACAUCCGCCAGUUUCGUCCAAUCACAGUCAUCAACGUGAUUUUCCGGAUUCUGGCAAAAGGGUACGCCAAUAGGGUGACCCUCAUCGCUGACCACGUUACCCACCCCAACCAGUCCGCCUUCAUUCAAGGGUGGUAUAUCCUGGAUGGGGUGCUUGUUCUUCAUGAAGUCCUCCAUGAGGUUCGGUCUAAACACCUCAAGGCGGUUUUCUUGAAGAUUGAUUUCCAUAAGGCCUACGACACUAUUAGUUGGCCCUUCCUUCGGGAAGUUUUG